rnacentral:rRNA from 1 species
UACAGAGGGGGCAAGCGUUGUUCGGAAUUACUGGGCGUAAAGGGCGCGUAGGCGGCCUGCUAAGUCGAACGUGAAAUCCCCGGGCUCAACCCGGGAACUGCGUCCGAUACUGACAGGCUUGAAUCCGGGAGAGGGAUGUGGAAUUCCAGGUGUAGCGGUGAAAUGCGUAGAUAUCUGGAGGAACACCGGUGGCGAAGGCGGCAUCCUGGACCGGUAUUGACGCUGAUGCGCGAAAAGCCAGGGGGAGCAAACGGG